AAUGUCCCAUGAUCACCGCCUCCUUUCACCACAACGUUGCAAGCUCAUCUCUCAAAUGUUCACCCAAAGUUCUCAGCUUUCGAACUCUCCAUGACGAGGUUAGGUUUCUCUUUCCCCUUCUAAACCUUCCUUUCAUGUGGGGUGUUGAUUUUUGUGUUUGUUUGGAAAAGUACAAGCUAGUCUAGCAUCGUUCAAAAUGCCUUCGGAAGCUAGUUUAAGGGAGAAACUAAAAAAGAAGACUAAAUUUGUUGUAAGGACUUCUAGGAACUCUACGAGAAGAACUAAGAAGGAUGAAUUUUCUUUCGAGAAAAGUGGGGUUUUUGAUAGAGGAAAUGAGUCUGAGGGGAAGUUGAAGAGAAGGGUGAAGUUUAAGGGGAUGCAAUUGGGUGAGGAAGUUGAUGAGAGAGGAAAGUUGAGGAAUUUGGAUUCUAGUGGGAAGAAGAAGAGGGUAUAUGCUAAGGAGGGAAGGGAUAGAAUUGGGAGGUUAGAGAAUGGUGUGGCAACAUCUAAUAAGAAGAAAACUAUGUUUAAGAGAGGUGAGAAGCAAGUGAAAAAUGAUCCUGUUGAAGGGAACACCGGCCACCGGACAAUGUGGGUUCCUGGUAAAUCAAGGAAUGCCGGGUCGAGAGGGAAGCGAUUGAAUCACACGGGGAAGGAAGGGAAGGAAGAUGUAGUGUUAGAUACUGCUAAACACAAAGGCAAGGCAAAGGAGGUGGGUAAAAUGGGAUUUGUUGGGGCAGAUGAUCAAGGAAGUGGUUUAGUGAAGAGAAUUAGGGAAAAGAAAUCUGAAUUGAGCAAAGGGAAAACCCAAGAAGUUGCGUCUCCUUCAUCAUCUUUUGCCAGGAAAAAACCCAGAGACAAAGCAUGGUUGGAUGAUGAUGAUGCUGAGACGCGGAAUGAUCGCCCAAAGAAGAAGAAAAGGGUGAUAAAGCUUGACCCGUAUGAUAUCUCAAACAAGAGACUAGAUGAUGGCAUUGGUAUUGAUGGAAGUAAAGAGAAGGAGAAGGAGAAGGAAAAUGAGUCUGAUAAAGAGCCUACAAUGUCCAAGAAUGCGCAGUUCCGUGCUAUACAACCUAACCCUUCAAUACUUUCCUUUGUGGAGAAAAAUCUUUUGGGCAAGAGACGCCCGAUUGACUUAAGAAGGGCAGGCUACAAUAUAGAUCUUUCUGCACCCUUAGAUAAUAUUCCCUUCUCUCGCAGUACAGAAAGAGAGAGAAUUGAAGAAAAUAUUUUUAGGAAUAAAUUGGAUUUUUUUGCUGCUGCAAAGGUCUCAUCAUCGUUUCCGCCUCCUGAUCUUCCAGAGAUUGCAUUUGCUGGAAGGUCAAAUGUCGGGAAGUCAUCUCUUCUUAAUGCACUCACUAGACAAUGGGGGGUUGUGCGGACAUCAGACAAGCCUGGCCUUACACAGACAAUUAACUUCUUUAAGCUGGGAACAAAGGUUUGCUUAGUUGAUUUGCCAGGAUAUGGAUUUGCAUAUGCAAAAGAAGAAGUGAAAGAAUCUUGGGAGGAGCUUGUGAAGGAGUAUGUGUCCACAAGAGUUGGUCUCAGACGAGUAUGCCUUCUGAUUGAUACAAAAUGGGGUAUGAAACCAAGAGAUCAUGAACUAAUUGAAUUAAUGGAAAGAUCAAGAACUAAAUAUCAGAUAGUAUUGACUAAGACAGAUGUGGUCUUUCCAAUUGAUGUGGCACGACGUGCCAUGCAAAUUGAAGAGAACCUCUUGCAGAACAAGUCUUUAGUUCAACCUCUGAUGAUGGUAAGCUCGAAAUCUGGAGCAGGAAUCCGAAGCUUGAGAACAAUUCUAGCCAACAUAACUAGAUUUGCCAAAAGAUAAUGAAAGGUUGAAGCCAAGACCUUUGCCUGAGUCUUUCUCAACCCUUUGAACUAAAUACAGUGCAGAUGUUUUAUAACCAAGACUGGCACAAUGAAUUCAUUUGAGGUGCAGAUUUCAUUUUCUAAGUGGCAGGCCAAACCUAACUUUGGUUGUCUCAUCAUUUUCUAAUUUUUAGUGGCAUUGAAUUAAAUUAUUUUAUGACUUUUUGGUGCGUUCCUUUUUUUAAUAACUCAAAAUCAUUUUUUUUAUUUGGUCAAAAAGAAUGGGUGCAUGCAUGACAUGCUUACCACCCCUUAUAGUUUUCAACGUGGAUACCUAACUUCACUAACCCCAUUAGCCGCCCCACACUCGAUGUAGAGGUUAUUUAUUAUUUUGACCUGAGAAAUGGGUUGAGAAUAAGCAAUGAAAGCCAUUAUCCUGUGGAGCAGCUAAAAUAAUAGAGUGGAAUUUAAUGCUGA